rnacentral:rRNA from 1 species
AACGAACGCUGGCGGAAUGAAUAACACAUGCAAGUCGAACGAGACCUUCUUUUCUAGUGGCGCACGGGUGCGUAACGCAUUGUAACCUGCCCUUAUGUUCGGAAUAACUCCCCUAAAGGUGUUCUAAUACCGGAUAAUGUCUUCGGACCAAAGAUUUAUCGCCUUUGGAUGGGCCCGCGUUGGAUUAGCUAGUUGGUAGUGUAAAAGCCUACCCAGGCGACGAUCCAUCGCUGGUCUGAGAGGAUGAUCAGCCACACUGGGACGGAGACCAGGCCCAGACUACUACGGGAGGCAGAAGGGGGGAAUAUUGGAAAAUGGGCGAAAGCAUGAUAAAGAAAGGACGCGUGAGUGAUGAAGGCCUUAGGGUUGGAAAGAUCUUUUACCCGGGAUGAGAAUGACAGUAAAGGGAGAAGAAGAUCCGGCUAACUAAGUG